UACAGAGGUCCCAAGCGUUGUUCGGAUUCACUGGGCGUAAAGGGUGCGUAGGUGGUCGGGUAAGUCUGAUGUGAAAUCUCUGGGCUCAACCCAGAAAUGGCAUUGGAUACUAUUCGGCUAGAGGAGUGGAGGGGGGACUGGAAUACUUGGUGUAGCAGUGAAAUGCGUAGAUAUCAAGUGGAACAUCAGUGGCGAAGGCGAGUCCCUGGACACUUCCUGACACUGAGGCACGAAAGCUAGGGGAGCAAACAGG
rnacentral:rRNA from 1 species